rnacentral:lncRNA from 1 species
GGGGGGAAUAUUAGAAACUAAGGAGGAAACAUACCUAACUCCGGAGGGGAGAAGACAACUGGCAAUGGAUAUAGGAGACGAGGGGGAGGGAUUUGGUGUUUGGGGUAAUGAGAGGCGAUCGGGGGCAUGGAGCCAGUUGGUGGAGAGUUAGUUGAUAAAGUAGGCUCAAGUAUAGGAAGAGGACGAGGAGGUAUGGGGGUCAUCUGAGUAAGCAUCUCAGAACAAGGAACCCGGAGAAGGAGUUGGGCAAUCAGAAAAAAAGAGAACAGUUUCCCAAAAAACGUGACUCUAACAAGUGAGACAUAUGACGAGGACAGGAUCAUAACAACCUAUACCCCUUGACAUCGAGGAAUACCCGAGGAAAAUACAACGUACGGCUUAUCAUCUAGUUAGUACGGGUGUUGGGUCCCAAAGGACACGGGGGAUAAAGGAAAUAGGGUAUUAGCAGGAUGAAGGACAUGGCGAGGAGCCCGCCUGUAAUACCCGACUGGGAGGCCGAUUUGAUAAGGUAGGUAGCAAGUGAGAACUGCCAUGUGCCACGAAAUACUUAGGUACCCUCCUACCCCGUAAGAGACACGAAACCCGACAUAAAAAAAAUUAUGACAAUUUGUUAGCUCAGCUACCCCAUUCUUCUCAAGGUGGUGUAGGACAUGUAAGUUGUUGGGAGUUACCACUUUUUUUUAAGUUUCCCACAGAAACUCAUGUGGAUAUACUUCUCGACCAUAUCGGACCUGAUGUUACGCCACAUUCAGUGUAAUUGGGUUUUGAUCAUUUGUAGGAAGUGAGUAAAGUGAGGAAAAAUCUCAGAUUAUGAAGCAGUAAGGUAGGACUAAGUACAACGCAUGUUAAAUCAUCUAUGAAGGUUGACAUAAUAGCGGUGUGAGAGAGUGCAGUAACUGGAGACGGUCCCCAUACGUCUGAAUGAAUAAGUCCAAAGGCACUAGGGGCCUACGAUGCAUACCGAGGAAUAUAAGAGGGGCACGAGGAUGCGUAGUAAACUCACAAAAGCACAGUUAAAAAAUUAAAUUUUUGACAUGCUUAUGAACGAGGAAAAAAGACAACAUAAAUAUUGAAAGUUAGCAUGCCCUAAACGAGGCAGCAUGCCACAAAUCUAAGGUGUGAAACAAAAAAAUAGACGCCUUUAAACCAGACGAACUUAAAACAGAUUGACUCUAACACUGGAGGAGGAGAAAAACCUGGAAGGCUAGAUGACACCGUACCUAGAGGUUAAAGGAUCCCCAAGUAGUAUAGUCCAUCCCGCUUCAUACCCCUUGCCAAAAAUCUUCUUCGAAUCAGGUCCUGCAAGAAGCAAAGAGAUGGUAAGAAAAACAAAGGCACAAAUUAAGAUAUUUUGCAAAGGGGACGACUAAAGACGACUGAACAAAAAGAGGAUUAGAGGGGCAAAAUGAGGUGGUACAUUAAAUAUACAGAUGAAAGGGUAAUAUCGGAGAGGAUAAAAAACGAGCAAACUUCCCUGAUACGAAUGGGGAAUGGGAUGAACCAUUCAGAAUAUAAAUUGAUUGAUGAACAAAAGUAAUAAGGAGUAAAGGUAGUAAGCUCACCAAUCAAUGGAUUAUUUGCUCCUGAUCAAAAUCCAAGUGGGGUGACCUGACUACCCAUGAAGAGCGGGAGGAGUCUAUGCAACUAUAGCGGUGGGGGCCAAAGGAUUGGGACGGCAGGUGCUAAUCCCAGGUGACUUGCCAAGAUGAGCAAUCAGAGCUGAAAGUUGUGAAAGUGUUUUGAAGUCAAGUAAAUUAGCAGGUAUAGGGUCCACUUCAGCAAUACCGCCAGUCCGGGGUAGGCCUCUACCUCGGCCCCACUACGGUCCACCCCCACGACCACCUCCACGAGGUCGAGAAAACCGUUGCUUCAAAUCAGGAUGGAGGAACCCAACAGCGAUCCAAUGAGGUGGACCGGACCUUGUGACAGUGUGAACAAUAUAAGUGGUCCCUGAAGAAAAAACAAAUGCCAUAUGUUGUUUAGGAAACAAUAGGAGAGGACUCGAGUAGUGAAAAGGAUGGUUUAAAGACGGACGCCUCUGCUCAUCACCAUCCACGUAGCAAACGCCUCAUUAAAGGGAAGACAGCUGGUUGAUGUGUUUAAAAUGAGUGCGAAGAGGUCCCAAACUCAGGUUUUUAAACCCAUCAAAAACUGAUAGGUAUGUUGACAUCAAGGGCAUUGGACUAACGCUCCAAUCAAUAGGAAAAUCACUGAGGGCUGUAUUGCAAGCUAAUUACUCCCAUCUUAGUCUGAAGAUAUCCAAAAUAACGGCAAUAGAGAGUUCCAAGGAAUGAGCUGAGAUGAAUGAGCGAUCUUCGGUCGGAUAACUCAAACAAUCGGGACUCUUGCGGGAAUGGCAUACAUCUGGGUCAAUGCAGUCCCACAACCCCAUGGACAGUAUCAUGGUACAUAAACAUGUGUAGACUCGAUCUCCAUCGAGUUGAACAUUCCAGCCCACGAUAAUACAGUAUCUGGAAAUCUAUUUCAUCAAACUUGGGAUCAGAUUCAGCAGGUUUUGGUUCUUUUCCCAGAAUCCAAGGGUCUUGACGCUUUUCACCAAGGAAAAAAAAAGCUGUGGAAUGGAUGAAGGAACGAGACCAAGCAAUGAAAGUUCUUUCCAUUCACAACACGCUCGUUAAACGUUGAGCUGGUGAGACUGAGAAAGAGAAACUGGAACUGGGGCUCAAAACCGGAAACUAUAUGGGCUGGGGAAACUCUUUGAGGAGUCAUCCAUACGCAACACCAAGAACACAAUCGUAAAUUAAUCAGACUUUUUGUACUUUUUUGUUUAGAAUGCAUCAUUACCUAGGCCAGCAUGGUAGACUGCAAAAUGAAGGAUGGGCUUGGGAUGCGUGGUUUGUGGGUGUUGGCUGGACUAGGCUGCACAGGCUGGCUGGCGGACUGGGCUGGCUAGAACUGCCCAUAGCCUUGGUGCACAGGCUGGCUGGCUGGACUAGGCUGUGGAUGAAUUCGGGCUGCACGGCCUUGGCUGCACAGGCUGGAUUGGUGUGGACUGGGCUGCACAGGCUGGAAGGGGGGUAGGGUAGAAUGCAGGGGCUGUGCUGAAAACUACAAGCCUUGGAUUGGCUCUGCACGGUGCAGCGGCAGGGCUGCGUGGUCAAGGAGCAGGGACUGAUGGUGGUGGGGCUGCGUGCUGCUGGACAGAUGGGCUGCGUGGUUGCUGUUGGGACUACCCCACGCCAGGGCUGCACAGGAUGUGCUUGGCUGCACGGUGCAGGGGCAGGCUGCUGGUGGUGGCUGUUAGGGUUUGGGCUGCUUUUUACGACCAUUGGAGGCUAGGUUUUUGUUUUUUGUUGUUGUUGACUUGAUGCCAAGAAGAAGAAGUUUAGAAGGCUUAAAUUUUAUUCCUCCAAAGUUCUCAAGAUCUAAUACACAUGUAGGAAUUAAAUUAGGAAAGAAAUAAGGGAAAAAUUAAAAAGAGAAAUCAUUGGUAUUGGUCAACAUGACCUAUUAUAAAUAACCUACGAUAGGAAAUUCUCAUUAAAUUAAGGUAAAGAAAUCUUCUUAACCUGCCAACAGAUAAUCAGUUUGUGAAAAGCCACCAAAACAACAGACUUACAGAGCGUGACGCCCCCGACAGAGUUUGCUACAGAGAAGUUCAUCCAAUUACGUAGCAUUAAGACGAAAAUUUACAAAUUGAUAAUGACACGUAUUCACAUUUUAGGUACUAGGUGUAUUUUAUACACGACUGGAAGGCACGCCCAUCAACUUUUGCGCUUAAUGUUUGGAUGAUUGACCACUUAAAAAUGUUUGAACUUGAGACUUAGUGGUUGAAAUCCUAUGUUUUUGCCAUCAAACCAACCCUCUUGAUUACUGCACAUUAUUGUUCUUUUCACAUGGUUUUCGAUAUUCAGCUGAUUGAUUGGUAAAGUUUAAAUAUUUGGUAGUGUCGUUGAGAUGAAAACCAAUUUAUAGUGAAGAUUAUUAUAUAUGUGAUAGUCAUGAAUAAUUUAUUAAUUUGUUCUUGAUGUUGAUAUAACUAAUUAACAUAGUAGAAUAUUUGAAUCGGACUUCAAUGCGAUGAAGGUAGGUAAGAAAGUGGCAAACCACGUAAAUUUAGUAUCUUGUGAUUAUUUCAUUGUUAUUUCAUUUGUAUUGUUUGUUAAUUUGUUUUAAUCAUUAAUUUGUUUGAACCUAGAGAAGGAAGACGACAGAUGAAUUAAUUAAAAUUCAUAUGGGAGAAUUUGAAGAAAAUUGUCUUUUGUUGGUUUUUCACCACGGUGAGAGAAUUUCUAAUGAUUUAUGUCAUUCUAGCAAUGUUAUUUUCAAAAUUUAUGAUUUUUACCAUUUUAGCCGUAUUAGUGUUAAAAUUUAGUAUAUUACAAUAUUAUUUUGUCAUUAAUAUUGUUGCAUUGAUUGAAUAUUAUUUUAGUUAUACUAAUAUUUUUUUUAUUAUGGAUCAAAUUUUCACCUAGUAUCAAAAUUGCAUUUUAUUGAUCAUUGUGAAAACAGGCUACCUAAAUUUAAAAAGACACAUUUUGACUAGUUAAUUUGGUUUUAAUUGCUGGGAUGCUCUUAGGUCAAGUUCAUACUUGACCCUUGUGUCUAUUUGUCAUUAAACUUAAUUCAGUAGCUAGCACAAGAUCAGAAAGCUAUAUUGACAUUGGACUUGAAAUGUAAGAGAUUAACUGAUAUAAUUGAAAAUUAAAGUUAUAAAAUGAGAUUAGUAAAAGUACAUUAGAGAAAAGUUUAACUUUUUGAACAUUAAAGACGGGAUGAAGUAGAAAUUUUUAAUUUGCCAAAAUCAUCUGAUUGAACAAGUUAGAGAGGAGAGAGAGAGUGACGUCUUGUUCCCCUUUUCUGGGCCAUUAAACGCGCCAGUGGCUAGGGGACUGUCUCAUUGUUUGCGUCUGGAGGAAUACCAAGUUGGAAACAACCUUGUGUAGGCCAGUCCAUGUUUUCUCCUACCCAUUUCCAAAGGAGUUUGUAUGUAGAACUCCGUAGGGCACUGAGUUUGAGGAGGGAGGCAAUUCGUCUCUUCCAUGCUUUUGAGAUCACAUAAUAGUUCCAAACUAAACACUAGAAAAUGUACUACCUAUUUUUAGUCGGGUAUUGAAAUAUUUAUACUUUGACCCUCCAAAUUACACUUGUCAAGUCCUUUGUCAUAGAUACCUUUUAUGUUGUUUCGUGUUUGUAGGUCAUUUGAGCCUAUUAUACGAUCCUUUGGAUGAAUUUCAAAGGUUUGAAAUUUGUCCAGCAGUCAAAAAAGUCAUUUUCCAAAGCUUGUUACCAAAGCGUUAAAGCUUCCAAAGUACAAGGGGCUGAACUAUAAUUUUGGGCAAAAUCUAUAUACCAAAAAAAAAGAAACAGGGUUAAAUCCUAAUUUGGUCCUUAAACUAUUUCAAAUUUAUUUACUUCAUCUCUCAUCUACCAAUUGUAUUUAUUGAGUUAUCUAACAAAUCAAUUUAAGUCAAUUGUUUUCAAUUGAGGACCCGUCAUUUAAAAAGUGGACGUCAUCUGUCCACAUGACAUGCACGUAAGGACAAAAUAGUAUUUUCGUACGUGAAUGAACACGAAACACACAUGGGUCACCCUAAUUGACUUUAUACUCUGGUAAUCGAUCACCAAUUUGGGCAAAAUUGGUGUUUAGAGUUUUUAACAAACGAGAGUUUGUGUCCAAAUCGAUAAUGUUUUGGAUUCUAAGAUCAGGUAAUAACUACCUUCAAUUUUGUGGAGGUUAUGUGAAUGGAUACCAUCUACUUUUUAGAUGGCAGGUCAUUAAUUGGAUUUGAUCCAUGUAAAUUGAUUAGUUGGGGAACUCAAUAAGUGCAAUUAGUAGUUUAAGGACAAAGUAAACAAAUUCGGAAUAGUUUAAGGACCAAAAUAGUAUUUAAUCGAAGAAAAAAAAACGCUAGUUAGUAAAAUCAUUUAGAAUUGAUCUAUGGUCUUGAUUUGGGGAAUGAAAUCCCUUGAUGGCCGUUUAUCCUCUCAAUCAAUCAAUUAUAAUAUGGGGAGUGAUUUUAGGCAUUUGGAAUAUUUGUCCGUCGUUAGUGGUGCUCUUCUGCUUCUGGAGUCUGGACGUCUCAGGCGGAUCAUUGGAUGUGGCAACGCUUAGUAGCUCAUCUUGGCCGGCCAAUCAUUCCAAGCAGUAACACCCGGUGAGUACACCGAAUUAUUUCAUCGAAUGACUUGCGUUGUCUCCUACGUAAUUCCUAGUGAUUUCGAAUUCCCUUUUAUAAAACACCCAACCCAAUAGAACAAUAAAGUCUGAUUCUCUUGGUAGGAAAUGAAGCAUGUAAUUUGAAGUCUAUCAUUAGUUAAAUUCUUUAAGUUUAAAUUUAUCAAAAAUUAGAUAGAACAGUCUAUAGUAACGCUUAUCUGCUGCUAGUGCUGAUUUAGAAACUCUUAUACUUUGGGGGCUCACUAUCCUGUCUUUUCAAAUGUCACACCAUCUUCGAUUGUAUUGAACUAUCCAAUCCAAACAUUUUGGAUCCCAUUCUGAAUCUAUUCUAAAGAUUCAAAUCGUUCAUAUUAUAGAAUCCGUUGUGAAAAUCAAUACUAUAAAAAAAUAUGUUAAUUGGAUACAAAAUAUUAUCCAUUUAGUACUAUUUUAUAACUUAAUAAAUGAAUGUGACACACAAUAUAAUAUACAUUUAUCUUCAUAUAAAUUGAUAUUGGUAUGUGAUUAUUUACUGUAUUAAAGUUCUUACGUAAACUCUACAAUAUGAACAAUUUAGAUCAGAAAAAUGGGUCUGAAACGAUACCCAAAAUAUUUGGACUGCACUUAUGCUUUCCAAAAUUGGACUGUGUAGAAACUGUCCUAUCAUUGGGUGUUGUGUGAGAGAGAUAGGAGAGGAGGAGGAGAAGAGGAGGGUAGGUAAGGAUUGCCUGGUGGGCGUGGGAUGAUGGUGGGUCCGGUGGGUAUGAAAAAUAGGUCUAGUAUUGUUAUAUGAUAGUUUCUUAUAACUUUUUUUUAAAAAAAAUUUGGAGUAGAGAGAAAGCAAAAUUUUGAUGAACUUUUGUUUUUUUUAACCUUUUUUAACUUAAAAACUCUAACUUUUAACAUCUAAAUCUUUAUAACAUUUACGGCAUUUGUACUUUUUAUUAUAUUUUGAUAAAAUAUAAUAAAAGAUUUAAUAUAGAUAGAUAGAUAGCCUAUUUCAAUUUGAGCAUUUCAAAUGAGGUUUUAGAGGUUUUGGGUUGGAGAUUAAUUAUCAAGACAGAGGUACGCAUUACAACAAUGGAAUGGUACAUGAUAUUAUCAUGACCUAUAAGCGUUGCAACAUACGAAUCAAAUCAAGUGAAAGCUAUUAAUCACUCUUGCUUACUCUCAACUGACACAACAAAUUUAAAUUUAAAGCUUGGACACAACUUUAGUGGGCUGUCAUCAAAUGGACCGUCCACAUGCUCUCUUUCAUUUUCUUCAACCUCCUUCUUUGAACUCUUUCCAUAGCGGUUUCUGGGCACAUCAUUAGUAACCACAGUCCCAUCUUCCCCCUAUUUCUUUAAACCUUCAUAAAGCUAAUCAAAGGGGACUCCCUAGCGAGGCCGCCAUACCGAGUUUCUCCACCCCCCCAAAUCUAUCGCGUCAAAGCCAACGCGGGUCGUAUCAGAACAAAUAUAGAUUCCCCGCCACCGUAUGAAGAGGUCGUCCCUUAGUCACAUAAGAUCUGCCCGGACCCAAUACUCUCCGGUCAUUGGGUCCUUCGCCUUCUUCACUCCUCCCUACUAUUCAGCGGGGAAUCGAAAUCAUUCCAGCUCUUGAAACUGCAGCUGGAAAGGCAAAGACAUUUCCAUAGUAUCCUCGAGGUACACGCAGGUCGUGCUUUCCACGUCCGGUGGCUGCACACGAGAUGCGAAUCGUCUCAUUGGGGUCUAGACCAAGUGCACAAGUUCGGCAUCUCCAUAAACACGCGGUUAAGACGUCGAAUGUGGUGCUUGUUGAGCGGGGGUGAAGCGAAGAUGGCUUCGAAUGGC